UACGUAGGCAGCAAGCGUUGUUCGGAAUUACUGGGCGUAAAGAGUGUGUAGGCGGUGCCCUAAGUUUGGUGUGAAAUCUCCCGGCUCAACUGGGAGGGUGUAUCGAAAACUGGGGGUGCUCGAGGGUGGGAGAGGUAAGCGGAAUUCCUGGUGUAGCGGUGAAAUGCGUAGAUAUCAGGAGGAACACCAGUGGCGAAGGCGACUACCUGGCCUGUUCUUGACGCUGAGGCGCGAAAGCUAGGGGGAGCAAACGGGG
rnacentral:rRNA from 1 species